rnacentral:rRNA from 1 species
UACGUAGGGACCGAGCGUUGUCCGGAAUCAUUGGGCGUAAAGAGCGUGUAGGCGGCCACUUAAGUCCUGCGUGAAAUCUUGCGGCUCAACCGCAAGCGGUCUGGGAAACUGGGUGGCUAGAGUGCGGGAGAGGAGAGUGGAAUUCCUGGUGUAGCGGUGGAAUGCGCAGAUAUCAGGAAGAACACCCGUGGCGAAGGCGGCUCUCUGGAACGCAACUGACGCUGAGACGCGAAAGCGUGGGGAGCAAACAGGG